ACCUAUCACAAUAGGAGAAUUAAUGCUAGAAUGAGUAACCAGGGUAAUUCCCUCUACGACGCAAGCUUACAUCUGUACAUUAUUAACAAGCACCCAAUAUACGACAAAUCCAACAAGCAGAGUAUUAACCACCUUGUUAACCCGACAGAGGAGCGUCCGUUAAGAAAGAUUAAAACCUGUAAAAGGAACUAGGCAAACCCGUCAAGGCCCGACUGUUUCCAAAAACAUAGCCUUCAGCAAACCAAAGGACAAGUAUUGAAGGUGAUGCCUGCCCGGUGACGUAGUUCAACGGCCGCGGUAUCCUAACCGUGCAAAGGUAGCGCAAUCAAUUGUCCCAUAAAUCGGGACACGUAUGAAUGGCUAAACGAGGUCUUAACUGUCUCUUACAGGCAAUCGGUGAAAUUGAUCUCCUGUGCGAAAGCAGGGAUAACCACAUAAGACGAGAAGACCCUGUGGAACUUCAAAAACAGCGACCACCCCAACAUACAUACACACCCAAAGCACUGGUUCGCAUUUUUUCGGUUGGGGCGACCUUGGAGCAAAACAAAACCUCCAAAGAUUGGACCAUCCCUCCAGACUAAGAGCAACCUCUCAACGUGCCAACAGCACCCAGACCCAAUACAAUUGAUCAAUGGACCAAGCUACCCCAGGGAUAACAGCGCAAUCUCCUCCAAGAGUCCAUAUCGACGGGGAGGUUUACGACCUCGAUGUUGGAUCAGGACAUCCUAGUGGUGCAGGAGCUACUAAGGGUUCGUUUGUUCAACGAUUAACAGUCCUACGUGAUCUGAGUUCAGACCGGAGCAAUCCAGGUCGGUUUCUAUCUAUGAUGAACUCUUCCUCGUACGAAAGGAUCGGAAAAGUGAGGCCAAUACCACAAGCAAGCCUU
rnacentral:rRNA from 1 species